rnacentral:rRNA from 1 species
CCUACGGGAGGCAGCAGUGGGGAAUAUUGCACAAUGGGGGGAACCCUGAUGCAGCGACGCCGCGUGAGUGAAGAAGUAUUUCGGUAUGUAAAGCUCUAUCAGCAGGGAAGAAAAUGACGGUACCUGACUAAGAAGCCCCGGCUAACUACGUGCCAGCAGCCGCGGUAAUACGUAGGGGGCAAGCGUUAUCCGGAUUUACUGGGUGUAGAGGGAGCGUAGACGGUUAUGCAAGUCUGAAGUGAAAGCUCAAGGCUCAACCAUGGGACUGCUUUGGAAACUGUAAAACUGGAGUGCAGGAGAGGUAAGCGGAAUUCCUAGUGUAGCGGUGAAAUGCGUAGAUAUUAGGAGGAACACCAGUGGCGAAGGCGGCUUACUGGACUGUAACUGACGUUGAGGCUCGAAGGCGUGGGGAGCAAACAGGAUUAGAUACCCGGGUAGUC